CCCUUAGAUGUCCUGGGCCGCACGCGCGCUACACUGACAUGUUCAACAAGUUUCUCCUAGUUCGACAGGACUGGGAAAUCUUUGAACGCAUGUCGUGAUAGGGAUAGAUCAUUGCAAUUAUUGAUCUUGAACGAGGAAUUCCUAGUAAACGCGAGUCAUCAGCUCGCAUUGAUUACGUCCCUGCCCUUUGUACACACCGCCCGUCGCACCUACCGAUUGAAUGGUCCGGUGAAGCCUCGGGAUUGUGGCUGGUUUCCUUUAUUGGAGGUCGGUUGCGAGAACUUGUCUAAACCUUAUCAUUUAGAGGAAGGUGAAGUCGUAACA
rnacentral:rRNA from 1 species